rnacentral:rRNA from 1 species
UGGGGAAUAUUGGACAAUGGGCGCAAGCCUGAUCCAGCCAUGCCGCGUGUGUGAAGAAGGCCUUUUGGUUGUAAAGCACUUUAAGCGAGGAGGAGGCUACUUGGAUUAAUACUCUAGGAUAGUGGACGUUACUCGCAGAAUAAGCACCGGCUAACUCUGUGCCAGCAGCCGCGGUAAUACAGAGGGUGCGAGCGUUAAUCGGAUUUACUGGGCGUAAAGCGUGCGUAGGCGGCUUCUUAAGUCGGAUGUGAAAUCCCUGAGCUUAACUUAGGAAUUGCAUUCGAUACUGGGAAGCUAGAGUAUGGGAGAGGAUGGUAGAAUUCCAGGUGGAGCGGUGAAAUGCGUAGAGAUCUGGAGGAAGACCGAUGGCGAAGGCAGCCAUCUGGCCUAAUACUGACGCUGAGGUACGAAAGCAUGGGGAGCAAACAGG